rnacentral:rRNA from 1 species
UACGUAGGGUGCGAGCGUUGUCCGGAAUUAUUGGGCGUAAAGGGCUCGUAGGCGGUUUGUCGCGUCGGGAGUGAAAACUCAGGGCUUAACCCUGAGCCUGCUUCCGAUACGGGCAGACUAGAGGUAUGCAGGGGAGAACGGAAUUCCUGGUGUAGCGGUGAAAUGCGCAGAUAUCAGGAGGAACACCGGUGGCGAAAGCGGUUCUCUGGGCAUUACCUGACGCUGAGGAGCGAAAGUGUGGGGAGCGAACAGG